rnacentral:tRNA from 1 species
GGUAUCAUAGCAUAGUGGUAAUGCACCAUACUGUUAAUAUGGCAGAGGAAAGUUCGAUUCUUUCUGAUACCU